AGUGAGGAAUAUUGGGCAAUGGACGCAAGUCUGACCCAGCCAUGCCGCGUGCAGGAUGACUGCCCUAUGGGUUGUAAACUGCUUUUAUACAGGAAGAAACCACUCUACGUGUAGAGUGCUGACGGUACUGUAAGAAUAAGCACCGGCUAACUCCGUGCCAGCAGCCGCGGUAAUACGGAGGGUGCAAGCGUUAUCCGGAAUCAUUGGGUUUAAAGGGUCCGUAGGCGGAUUGAUAAGUCAGAGGUGAAAUCCCGCAGCUUAACUGUGGAACUGCCUUUGAUACUGUCAGUCUUGAGUUAUGUGGAAGUAGAUAGAAUGUGUAGUGUAGCGGUGAAAUGCUUAGAGAUUACACAGAAUACCGAUUGCGAAGGCAGUCUACUACGUAUAUACUGACGCUAAUGGACGAAAGCGUGGGGAGCGAA
rnacentral:rRNA from 1 species